CAGAAAGUAGUUUUUAAAAAUAAUAAUUUUGGAGAUUAUAGAUGAAUGUAGGUCCUUUCUGA
rnacentral:tRNA from 1 species